CCUACGGGAGGCAGCAGUGGGGGAUAUUGCACAAUGGGGGAAACCCUGAUGCAGCGACGCCGCGUGUGGGAAGACGGUCCUCUGGAUUGUAAACCACUGUCCCCAGGGACGAAGAUGACGGUACCUGGGGAGGAAGCUCCGGCUAACUACGUGCCAGCAGCCGCGGUAAUACGUAGGGAGCGAGCGUUGUCCGGAAUUACUGGGUGUAAAGGGAGCGUAGGCGGGACUGCAAGUUGGGUGUCAAAUCUACCGGCUCAACCGGUAGCCGCACUCAAAACUGCAGUUCUUGAGGGAAGUAGAGGCAGGCGGAAUUCCUAGUGUAGCGGUGAAAUCCGUAGAGAUUAGGAGGAACACCAGUGGCGAAGGCGGCCUGCUGGGCUUUUACUGACGCUGAGGCUCGAAAGUGUGGGGAGCAAACAGGAUUAGAUACCCGUGUAGUC
rnacentral:rRNA from 1 species